UACAGAGGGGGCAAGCGUUGUUCGGAAUUACUGGGCGUAAAGGGCUCGUAGGCGGCCAACUAAGUCGGACGUGAAAUCCCUCGGCUUAACCGGGGAACUGCAUCUGAUACUGGAUGGCUUGAGAUUGGGAGAGGGAUGCGGAAUUCCAGGUGUAGCGGUGAAAUGCGUAGAUAUCUGGAGGAACACCGGUGGCGAAGGCGGCAUCCUGGACCAACACUGACGCUGAGGAGCGAAAGCCAGGGGAGCAAACGGG
rnacentral:rRNA from 1 species